rnacentral:rRNA from 1 species
GACGAACGCUGGCGGCGCGCUUAACACAUGCAAGUCGAGCGAGAACCUGGGCUUCGGCCCAGGGGACAGCGGCGAACGGGUGAGUAACACGUGGGUAAUCUGCCCUUGACAUCGGGAUAGCCCGGGGAAACCCGGAUUAAUACCGAAUAGCCUCCGGAGCCUUCGGGCGCCGGAGAAAAGGUAGCCUCGGCCUCUGGUCAAGGAUGAGCCCGCGGCGGAUUAGCUUGUUGGCGGGGUAACGGCCCACCAAGGCAACGAUCCGUAGCUGGUCUGAGAGGACGAUCAGCCACACUGGGACUGAGACACGGCCCAGACUCCUACGGGAGGCAGCAGUGGGGAAUCUUGCGCAAAUGCGGGAAACCGUGACGCAGCGACGCCGCGUGGGGGAAGAAGGCCUUCGGGUUGUAAACCUCUUUCAGGAGGGACGAAGCUACUCGGGUUAAUAGCCCAGAGGGUGACGGUACCUCCAGAAGAAGCCCCGGCUAACUACGUGCCAGCCGCCGCAGUAAAAC